GCCGGUGUACUCAAGUGGUCAACGAGGGCAGUCUGUAAAACUGCUGGCGCAAGCCUACGUAGGUUCGAACCCUGCCGCCGGCACCA
rnacentral:tRNA from 1 species